rnacentral:rRNA from 1 species
UACGUAGGGUGCAAGCGUUAAUCGGAAUUACUGGGCGUAAAGCGUGCGCAGGCGGUUGUGUAAGACAGAUGUGAAAUCCCCGGGCUUAACCUGGGAACUGCGUUUGUGACUGUAGGACUCGAGUGUGGCAGAGGGGGGCGGAAUUCCACGUGUAGCAGUGAAAUGCGUAGAGAUGUGGAGGAACACCGAUGGCGAAGGCAGCCCCCUGGGUCAACACUGACGCUCAUGCACGAAAGCGUGGGGAGCAAACAGG